CAGGAACCUGGAGCAAGAGAUUUCUUUUGACUUUGGCCCCAACGGGGAGUUUGCUUACCUAUACAGCCAGUGCUACGAGCUCACCACCAACGAAUAUGUCUACCGCCUCUGCCCCUUCAAGCUUGUCUCGCAGAAACCCAAACUCGGGGGCUCUCCCACCAGCCUCGGGUGAGUGGCUUGGGCUGGCCCCUUCCCUCUGCCUUCUCCUGGUGCCCCGACACUGGCCCAGCUCUCAGCACCCUGUGUCUCUCACAGCACCUGGGGCUCAUGGGCUGGCCCCGACCACGACAAGUUCAGUGCUAUGAAGUAUGAGCAAGGCACGGGCUGCUGGCAGGGCCCCAACCGCUCCACCACCGUG
rnacentral:sRNA from 1 species